rnacentral:rRNA from 1 species
UACGUAGGGUGCGAGCGUUGUCCGGAAUUAUUGGGCGUAAAGAGCUCGUAGGCGGCCUGUUGCGUCGGUUGUGAAAGCCCGGGGCUUAACCCCGGGUCUGCAGUCGAUACGGGCAGGCUAGAGUUCGGUAGGGGAGAUCGGAAUUCCUGGUGUAGCGGUGAAAUGCGUAGAUAUCAGGAGGAACACCGGUGGCGAAGGCGGAUCUCUGGGCCGAUACUGACGCUGAGGAGCGAAAGCGUGGGGAGCGAACAGG